GGCGGGAUGCCGGAGUGGACGAACGGGACUGUUUCGAAAACAGUUGUGCCCGAAAGGGUACCGGAGGUUCGAAUCCUCCUCCCGCCGCCA
rnacentral:tRNA from 1 species